rnacentral:rRNA from 1 species
GACGAACGCUGGCGGCGUGCUUAACACAUGCAAGUCGAACGGAAAGGCCCCUUUGGGGGUACUCGAGUGGCGCACGGGUGCGUAACACGUGAGUAACCUGCCCUUGACUUCGGGAUAACUUCAGGAAACUGGGGCUAAUACCGGAUAGGAAUCCUUGCUGCAUGGUGGGGGUUGGAAAGCUUCGGCGGUUUUGGAUGGACUCGCGGCUUAUCAGCUUGUUGGUGGGGUAGUGGCUUACCAAGGCUUUGACGGGUAGCCGGCCUGAGAGGGCGACCGGCCACAUUGGGACUGAGAUACGGCCCAGACUCCUACGGGAGGCAGCGGUGGGGAAUAUUGCACAAUGGGCGGAAGCCUGAUGCAGCAACGCCGCGGGCGGGAUGACGGCCUUCGGGUUGUAAACCGCUUUCAGCAGGGGCGAAGCUUGUGGUGACGGUACCUGCAGAAGAAGCACCGGCUAACUACGUG